rnacentral:lncRNA from 1 species
ACAGAGACAGACCGAGGCUUCCACUAAACCGAAGCUUCCUCUCUGUUCUGGUGCAGUGAAGUACUUGAGGUCUGCAAAAGGAGGAACCAUUUUUGUCUCCUAUCAGAGAAAAGCUAAACAGAAGAGAACUCAGGGAGAGGAUGAAGCUAAUAAUGUCAAACAAAUGCAAUGUGUUCCGGGACAGAAGGAACAGCAGCAGCUGAGUGAGACUCACUGGGUUAUCGGAAAAAAAAAACAAAACAAAACAAAAACAACAACAACAAAACCCUGAGGAACUAGGUCGGCCAAUAUACCAUAAGGAUGUGUUGACAUAAGAAUGGAAACCUGCAAUCGUGCUAAGAUGGGGAUGUGACUAUGCGUAUGUAUCUACAGAGAAUGAAAAACUAUGGAUACCAACAAAACUUAUAAAGAUUAGGUCUGACCAGGGAAAACCUCUGAUCAGCUGAGACCUAAAUGUCUUCACAAAAAAUAUCCCAGGUGAUUCACCCUCACAAGCUGUCUCAGUUACUGAUUUCUCUCCAAAGUGCAUGUAAAUCAAGUUCAAAAGGGCUAGCUAGACUUAAUGAUAGAUCUCACAAAGACUGGAAAGACACAGAGACUGGCCAAUAAAUGCUACAGCUAGCUUUUUCCAAGUAACCAUUUUCUUCCUUGGGACCUCUAGAGGAAUUCUUCACCCCAGUUCAGCAGAAGCAAUUUUACAAAGAUCAUCACCCUAGCCCCUUAAAUCAGGGUGGAUAGGUUUGGUCAUUUGAUGUAUUAUAUUUGUUAUCAUCCAGGAUGGAAGGUUGUUAUUGGUUAUCAUCAGGGAUUGAUAAGAAUUUAGAAGUGUUUUGUUUGAAUUAUUGUAUAUCAAUAGAAAUUUAAGGUUUUUUUUUUUGUUUAACUAGUGGUUAUUGAUAGAAAUUUAAUAUUGUUUUGUCUGAAGUAUUGUAUAUUGAUAGAAAUUUAAGGUUGUUUUGUUAGCUUAGUUGAUUAUAUUGUACACGUGUCAUUUAUUGGAAAUGUGAUGGUUCUUACAAUUAUUUCUAUUAUGCAUAGAUUGCUAAUGAUAAAGAAAAGG